UCGGUUCCGGUUCACGUCGCGCAAGCCCGCGCUGGACGACCCGGGACU
rnacentral:ncRNA from 1 species